CACUAAAAUACUAGAAAGGUUGUGGUAUUGGCACUAAAAUACCAGAAAGGUUGUGGUAUUGGCACUAAAAUACCAGAAAGGUUGUGGUAUUGGCACUAAAAUACCAGAAAGGUUGUGGUAUUGGCACUAAAAUACCAGAAAGGUUGUGGUAUUGGCACUAAAAUACCAGAAAGGUUGUGGUAUUGGCACUAAAAUACCAGAAAGGUUGUGGUAUUGGCACUAAAAUACCAGAAAGGUUGUGGUAUUGGCACUAAAAUACCAGAAAGGUUGUGGUAUUGGCACUAAAAUACCAGAAAGGUUGUGGUAUUGGCACUAAAAUACCAGAAAGGUUGUGGUAUUGGCACUAAAAUACUAGAAAGGUUGUGGUAUUGGCACUAAAAUACCAGAAAGGUUGUGGUAUUGGCACUAAAAUACCAGAAAGGUUGUGGUAUUGGCACUAAAAUACCAGAAAGGUUGUGGUAUUGGCACUAAAAUACCAGAAAGGUUGUGGUAUUGGCACUAAAAUACCAGAAAGGUUGUGGUAUUGGCACUAAAA